rnacentral:rRNA from 1 species
GACAGAGGUCCCGAGCGUUAGGCGGAAUCACUGGGCUUAAAGCGUGUGUAGGCGGAUCCGUAAGUACCUUGUGAAAUCCCACGGCUCACCCGUGGAACUGCUUGGUAUACUGCGGGUCUUGAGCCACUUAGGGGCGAGCGGAACAAACGGUGGAGCGGUGAAAUGCGUAGAUAUCGUUUGGAACGCCAAUGGUGAAAACAGCUCGCUGGGAGUGUGCUGACGCUGAGACACGAAAGCCAGGGGAGCAAACGGG